ensembl:lncRNA
CCUCCUGCACUGUUGGUGGGAAUGUAAGCUGGUACAACCACUAUGGAGAACAGUAUGGAGGUACCUUAGAAAACUAUACAUAGAACUACCACAUGACCCAGCAAUCCCACUCUUGGGCAUAUAUCCAGACAAAACUUUCCUUAAAAAAGACACAUGCACCCACAUGUUCAUUGCAGCACUAUUCACAAAAGCCACGACAUGGAAACAACCCAAAUGUCCAUUGACAGACAAUUGGAUUAGGAAGAUGUGGUAUAGAUACACAACGGAAUACUACUCGGCUAUAAAAAAAAAAAAAAUAAGGCCAUUUGCAACCACGUGGAUGGAACUAGAGACUCUCAUCCUGAGUGAAGUAAGUCAGAAAAAGAAAGACAAAUACCAUAUGACAUCACUGAUAUCUGGAAUCUAAUAUACAGCACAAAUGAACCUUUGCACAGAAAAGAAAAUCAGGGAUUUCGGGAAUAGACUUGUGGUUGCCUAGGGGAGGGGGAGGGUUGGAAUGGAUUGGGAACGUGAUGUGAAUAGAUGCAGACUAUUGCUUUGGAGUGGAUUAGCAAUGAGAUCCUGCUGUUAAGCACUGAGAACUAGAUCUAGUCAACUAUGACGGAGCAUGAUGAUGUGAAAAAAAAGAACGUCUAUAUGUAUGUGUAACUGGGUCAUUAUGCUGUACAGUAGGGAAAAAAUGUGUUGGGGAAAUAACAAUAAAAAGAUAAAAAUCAAUUAAAAAAACAAAUAAAAAUAAAUAAAUUUUCCAAAACAUUUUUAUGAGUAAUUUCCCAUGAUGUCUUGUCAAGGGAUUUACCAUAAUAUAUAAAAAAUAAAAUAAGACUAUAUCCAAGAACUGACAUGUUACUGUAAAAAUAUCUGAUGAGGUUAUGAAUUCAUAAACAUUUUUAAAUCAUUACACUGUUUCUAGCGAAUAUAUGCCAUCUAUAGAAAGAAAAUCUGGGUUUGGAAAUUAUAAUAAGAUUACAUUUUUUAUUAAGUGGAGUUGACUUACAAUGUUGAACCAAUUUCUGCUAUAAAGCAAAGGGACCCAGCCAUACUUAUACAAAUACAUUCUUUUUCUCAUAUUAUCUUCCCAUCAUGUUCUGCCACAAGAAACUGAGUAUAGUUCCCUGAGCUCUACAGUAGGACCUCACUGCUUAUCCAUUAGAAAUGUAAUAGUUUGCAUCUACCAACCCCAAACUCCUAGUCCAUCCCACUCCCCCUUCCCCCUUGGCAACCACAAGACUGUUCUCCAAGUCUCUGAGUCUGUUUUGGUUUUGUCGAUACGUUCAUUUGUGCUAUAUUUCAGAUUGCACAUCUAAGUGAUGUCAUUUUAAAAAUUGUGAUUUUAAGAGAGCAAUUGGGUAUUUUGCUUUCUGUUUAAGACAGGUACCAGAAAACAGUCUUUAUGUGUCCUUGGUCCUGAUUGUUGUACAAAUUCAACAAGGAAAAGAUACAAACAUUUUCCACAGUGCUUAGUACAUAAUUACUCCAUACAUGUGAGCUACUAUUACCAUCGCGGUGAAUUUUAACUUGAACUGAUAUUUUAACAAACAACUCUACUUUAAUUCUCUGUUAUUCUUUAUUUCGGAUAUUUAAAAUAUUACACACACAUAGAAAACCUAUAUUCCCACAACUCAGAAUCAUCAACUAUUACUUUUGUCAUAUUUAUUUCCAGCAUUUUCUAGCACAUAAAAUGCCAGAGGCCUGCUCAGGUGGCCAGGGAGUGUACACUUUCCCGAUAGGAGAUGGACAGCAUCGGCGAAUGUACAUAGGGAGACAGCCUCUUUGUCCCUUCUUUCAGGGCACUGGACUGCUCACAUUUUAUUGGCAUAAGUGGUUGAUUAUACGGACAGUUUUUUACUACAGAUUACAUCACAGUGUUAAAAGUAUAUUGGUUAACUAUUACAUGGUAUAGCAGCUAUACAUCAUGUUCUAAGAUCUUUAUCUUAACUAAACUUAGUGAAUACAAUUUAAGGGCAAUUAGGUACAAUACAUCAUGUGGAAAGGAGGAGACUCAGUACAAAUCAUCCCAUGGCCAGCCAGUCUUUACAAUUUGAAGAGGUCACAGACACAAGAAUUUGGUACUCACAAAUCUUGCUUUUAGACUGGUGCUUAUCUUUAAAGCAUUAUGGCAGGGAGACAGUAUAAGAAAAUAUAAACCAACUUAACUAGCUAUCACUUAAAAGCUUUUAAAAUCAAGGACAAAACUCACAGCUGGGUUUCUUUUGGUCAUGAAUAAUAUAUGUCUAACUUCUCUGAACCUAAUUAAAAUCCUAACUCUAAAGUUUACUGUAUAACUAGUUAGUAGAUAAACACUAUAUUUUACCUAAGUUGGAUUUAAAUAGGGGAAAGUCCUUCAGGAUGAAAUUCUUAUUAUAUUAUUGUUGUAACUUUGCUAAGUCACAAAUCACCACAGGAAAAUAAGAAUGGAAAAUAAGAAUAAUAAGUAAAUAAUCAGGAAAGACUGAGGAAAACUGAAUAACAAAUAAAACGAGAGGAAAGACUAGGUCACCCGAGAAGCAAUCCAUGUUCUCCAGCGCAAACAUGGAAAUUGUUUUCCCGGGAAAGCCCCAAUUCUUCCCCAUCAACAUCAAAAUGAGAGCUGUGUAACCUGAGGCCUGCCCUCGGCUUGUACAGUACAGGCAGGCUUUCAUCCUGACCAGAAGCCCACCUUCGGCUUGUACCAUUCAGGUGAGCUCCCUUCCUUGGUUAGGAACCUGCCUUCAGGUUUUUCUGCCAUCAGGCAAGGUCCUUUUUUUGAGUCCCUGUAUCUCCUCAGCUCCCCACAAUAAAAUAUCACAGAGGGAGUUCCCGUCGUGGCACAGUGGUUAACGAAUCCAAUUAGGAACAAUGAGGUUGUGGGUUCGGUCCCUGCCCUUGCUCAGUGGGUUAACGAUCCGGCGUUGCCACGAUGUGUGGUGUAGGUUGCAGACGCGGCUCAGAUCCCACGUUGCUGCGACUCUGGUGUAGGCCGGCAGCUACAGCUCCGAUUCGACCCCUAGCCUGGGAAGGAACCUCCAUAUGCCGCAGGAGCAGCCAAAGAAAUAGCAAAAAAAAAAAAAAAAAAAAAAAAAAAAACCUUCUUAGGGAAGGUUGGAAUGUGUGUACAUCAGAGUACCAAAUAUACAUAGGGAAACCAGACAGCAUUUCAUUUCUGGAAGUCUUCUCUAAACUUUGGAAAUAACUAGUUUGCUGCCUGUAGAAAGCAAUGGAUUUUUCUUUGUAAUCAGAGUCUCUCAGUCUAUCACUUAAACCCAUCUUAAAAGCAUGUAAAUUUGAAUAAAUACUAUUCCUGACAGGUAUUAAAUACCUGAAUGAAAUGUGUAGCCUUCAUCCAAUCAUGUCAACUUUUAAAAUAUGCAGUAGAAAUCUGAUGCAUUGACCCAUCCACCUGUUUUAUCCAGAUUUUGAAGUCAGAUAAAAACCUUUCCUUUCUUCUAUAACAUUUUCCUACACAUAACUUAAAAGUCUCUGUCAAUAUAAAUAAUACGCUGUGUGAUGAAAAAUGAUGUACAAAAAGAUACACUAGAGAAGUUCCCUUGUGGCACAGCAGCUUCAGGAUCCCACAUUGCUGCAGAUGUGGCAAAGGCCAAAACUGCAGUAUGGGUUGAAUCCCUGGCCUGGGAAGUUCCACAUACCAUGGGUGUGGCAAAAAAAAAAAAAAAAAAAAAAAA